GGCAAAGUGUAGUUUGUAUAGAUAGAAUCACAUAAAACUGCAUCACGUAAGUGAAUUAAAGGAUAACCAGGAGCACAUAAAUAAAACAGCUGCAACUUGUUACCUGAUGAUUAGUAGUCAAGUUGAAAGAAGCAUCAUGAUCCUCCUAUUAAAGCUGUGCAUUUAAAUACUGAGGUCCAAUAAAACAAUAGGUCUUGUAGAAGUCUUCAUUGUUGAAAAGUGUUGUGAAUCAGUCUGCAUUUUUAAGUGAAUGCAAGCUGAUGUUCUGUUCAUUGAAAAGCAUUUUAAAUUGCAGAGGUGCAGGAUACUGGAGCAGCUGCUGAUUCGCAGUCAGUUUUCUCAGAUCCAGUUGCUGUGGACUAUUCUCCAGCCAGUCUGUCACAGGGACUUCAUGUACACCGCUAGAAUGGCUUUUCCUGAGUUCCAGCUGAGUCCCAUCAGCACCGAGUUCAGCCGUAGGCUCAGCAGGUGGUUUAAAGGUGGGCGGAUGGGUCGGCUUUUCCGGGUCCCCAGUGUCUUUCUGAGAGAUCUGGAUGACGUGAGGAGAUUCACCUCGAACGGUCAACACACACAAGAGCAAACAGAGAGGCUGGGGACUGGUCCAGUGAAA
rnacentral:lncRNA from 1 species